rnacentral:rRNA from 1 species
CCUACGGGAGGCAGCAGUGAGGAAUAUUGGUCAAUGGGCGCGAGCCUGAACCAGCCAAGUAGCGUGAAGGAUGACUGCCCUACGGGUUGUAAACUUCUUUUAUAAAGGAAUAAAGUGAGGCACGUGUGCCUUUCUGCAUGUACUUUAUGAAUAAGGACCGGCUAACUCCGUGCCAGCAGCCGCGGUAAUACGGAGGACCCGAGCGUUAUCCGGAUUUAUUGGGUUUAAAGGGAGCGUAGAUGGGUUGUUAAGUCAGUUGUGAAAGUUUGGGGCUCAACCGUAAAAUUGCAAUUGAUACUGGCAGUCUUGAGUACAGUUGAGGUAGGCGGAAUUCGUGGUGUAGCGGUGAAAUGCUUAGAUAUCACGAAGAACUCCGAUUGCGAAGGCAGCUUACUAAACUGCCACUGACAUUGAUGCUCGAAAGUGUGGGUAUCAAACAGGAUUAGAUACCCUUGUAGUC